rnacentral:lncRNA from 1 species
AUGCCUGGAGGUUGGGUAGGGGUGUUGAUUGAACAUGCCUGGAGGUUGGGAGGUGGUGAUAUGAACAGGCCUGGAGGUUGGGUAGGAGGUGAUAUGAACAUGCCUGGAGGUUGGGUAGAAGGUGAUAUGAACUCUGGAGGUUGGGUAGGUGGUGAUAUGAACAUGCCUGGAGGUUGGGUAGGUGGUGAUAUGAACAUGCCUGGAGGUUGGGUAUGAGGUGAUAUGAACAUGCCUGGAGGUUGGGUAGGAUGUGAUGUGAACAUGCCUGGAGGUUGGGUAGGAGGUGAUAUGAACAUGUCUGGAGGUUGGAUAUGUGUUGAUAUGAACAGGCC